rnacentral:rRNA from 1 species
UAGGGAAUCUUCGGCAAUGGACGAAAGUCUGACCGAGCAACGCCGCGUGAGUGAAGAAGGUUUUCGGAUCGUAAAACUCUGUUGUUAGAGAAGAACAAGGACGUUAGUAACUGAACGUCCCCUGACGGUAUCUAACCAGAAAGCCACGGCUAACUACGUGCCAGCAGCCGCGGUAAUACGUAGGUGGCAAGCGUUGUCCGGAUUUAUUGGGCGUAAAGCGAGCGCAGGCGGUUUCUUAAGUCUGAUGUGAAAGCCCCCGGCUCAACCGGGGAGGGUCAUUGGAAACUGGGAGACUUGAGUGCAGAAGAGGAGAGUGGAAUUCCAUGUGUAGCGGUGAAAUACGUAGAUAUAUGGAGGAACACCAGUGGCUAAGGCGGCUCUCUGGUCUGUAACUGACGCUGAGGCGCGAAAGCGUGGGGAGCAAACAGG